rnacentral:tRNA from 2 species
GGGUGGGUAACCUAGAGGCCAGGUGGCGGACUGCAGAUCCGCAUACGCGGGUUCAAAUCCCGCCCCGCCCU